rnacentral:tRNA from 1 species
GAGCCGAGUAAUUGAGCUGCUAACUCUAAACCCC